AACAGGAUUAGAUACCCUGGUAGUCCAUGCCGUAAACGAUGAGUGCUAGGUGUUGGAGGGUUUCCGCCCUUCAGUGCCGGAGCUAACGCAUUAAGCACUCCGCCUGGGGAGCACGACCGCAAGGUUGAAACUCAAAGGAAUUGACGGGGGCCCGCACAAGCGGUGGAGCAUGUGGUUUAAUUCGAAGCUACGCGAAGAACCUUACCAGGUCUUGACAUCCCGCUGAUCGGUGUAGAGAUAUGCCUUUCCUUCGGGACAGCGGUGACAGGUGGUGCAUGGUUGUCGUCAGCUCGUGUCGUGAGAUGUUGGGUUCAGUCCCGCAACGAGCGCAACCCUUGUCGUCAGUUGCCAGCACGUAGAGGUGGGCACUCUGGCGAGACGGCCGGUGAAAGCCGGAGGAAGGUGGGGAUGACGUCAAAUCAUCAUGCCCCUUAUGUCCUGGGCUACGCACGUGCUACAAUGGCCGGUACAACGGGUAGCGAACCCGCGAGGGGGAGCCAAUCCAAAAAACCGGUCUCAGUUCGGAUCGCAGGCUGCAACUCGCCUGCGUGAAGCUGGAAUCGCUAGUAAUCGCGGAUCAGCAUGCCGCGGUGAAUCCGUUCCCGGGCCUUGUACACACCGCCCGUCACACCACGAGAGUCUGCAACACCCGAAGUCGGUGAGGUAACCUUCGGGAACCAGCCGCCGAAGGUGGGGCAGAUGAUUGGGGUGAAGUCGUAACAAGGUAACC
rnacentral:rRNA from 1 species